GGGGCUAUAGCUCAGAUGGGAGAGCGCCUGCUUUGCACGCAGGAGGUCUGCGGUUCGAUCCCGCAUAGCUCCACCA
rnacentral:tRNA from 3 species